ACCCUGACAUACACCUGAACUUCUGGCACUGCUCUCAAGCUCCUGGGCAGCAAGGAAUCCAGCUGACUUCUGAAACACAGCUCUCUGGAGUUUUUCUGGUAAUCACCUCCUUGCCUGUGGAAGAACUGCUGAACACAGAAUGCGAAGAGCCUUCUUUGCUGAGUGUGCUAUGAAAUCAAGUCCUACUGGAAGCUGGAGGUCAGAAUAGCUUCAUGACUUUGCGUCAGACCUUGUCUCGUUUCUGAAGAUUAUCGUACCUUUGAUUCUCCCCAGGGGCCCGGUUGAACGUGUUGGUUUAUUGUCUGAGAGAUCUUGCAGUGCCAAAGAAAAGAGGCCCCUUU